ensembl:lncRNA
CUGGACUCGAGGCGGAGGGGGCGAGGAUUCCAGUACUUGGUGGACUGGGAAGGUUACGGUCCGGAGGAGAGGAGUUGGGUACCUGCUAGGGACAUAUUGGAUCACUCCCUUAUUGAUGAUUACAAUCAGCAGUUCCUGUGCCAUCCUCUCCUGCUGCCAACUCACCAUCACCAUCUGGAUUACUCACCGUCUCCCACCAUCUUGGAUUGUCGUCUUCCCAGCGUUGUUUGUAUUCUUGUUUGUUUUGUUUGGUUCUCAUUAAA